AUACGGCGAGUGACCGGUCAUCAGCCCAGACUGGAAUCGCUUCGGCGAAUUGUACAGUUCAGACAUAGACCUUACACAACGGCGCAGGUGUAACUCAGCUGGAACGCUGGACCGUAGAGGGUGAUAGUCCCGUGCCACUUGUGCCUAGUGAUGGGUCGUGUUCAACGAGUCGGGUAGCUUGGGAUUGCUGCCCUAAUUGGGAGGUAGACUUCUUCUAAGGCUAAAUACUCACAAGAGACCGAUAGCGAACAAGUACUGUGAAGGAAAGAUGAAAAGAACUUUGAAAAAAGGGUUAAAAUACUUGAAAUCGCUGAGGAGGAAGCAUUGAGCUCUGCAGCGCCGGCAGUGCAACUGAGGGUACGCCCUUGGGGGAGCUGACGGCACAACUCAGUCUGCGUUCUCGUAUUGUGCCUGAAAGCUGUUAGCUCACAGAGCCAAUACAAAGGAUACAGGCUGAGUCGCGGUGCCCACUGACCCGUCUUGAAACACGGACCAAGGAGUCUAACAUGCGUGCAAGUAGUAGGGUGUAAAACCACACUGCGCAACGAAAGUGAGCCUUGCCAAACUAGCAGCAAGGGCCUCGUCAGAGAGCUCAGCACUUAUGUUGGGACCCGAAAGAUGGUGAACUAUGCUUGGGAAAGGCGAAGCCAGGGGAAACUCUGGUGGAGGCUUGUAGAGAUUCUGACGUGCAAAUCGUUCGUAA
rnacentral:rRNA from 1 species